rnacentral:rRNA from 1 species
UGCCAGCCGCCGCGGUAAUACGGAGGGUGCAAGCGUUGCUCGGAAUCACUGGGCGUAAAGCGUACGCAGGCGGCCAAUUAAGUUGGAUGUGAAAGCCCUGGGCUCAACCUAGGAACUGCAUCCAAAACUAACUCACUAGAGUACAAUAGAGGGAGGUAGAAUUCAUAGUGUAGCGGUGGAAUGCGUAGAUAUUAUGAAGAAUACCAGUGGCGAAGGCGGCCUCCUGGAUCUGUACUGACACUGAGGUGCGAAAGCGUGGGUAGCGUACAGGAUUAGAUA